CUUUCUCGAGACGAAGCUGCUCGAUGUAGUCACAGCUAGUGUCUUGGAUACCCAGAAGGGGACCGAAACGAUGGUCCAUGAUGCCAUAAAAAAUAAACUGAAAUAUGCCCCUGGACGGAAGGGAGGAAUAGGAUGGGCAUCACAGGCUAAAUAAAUAAUUAUAUCGAU